CCUACGGGAGGCACCAGUGGGGAAUUUUCCGCAAUGGGCGAAAGCCUGAUCCAGCAAUGCCGCGUGUGUGAAGAAGGUCUUCGGAUUGUAAAGCACUUUCGACGGGGACGACGAUGACGGUACCCGUAGAAGAAGCCCCGGCUAACUUCGUGCCAGCAGCCGCGGUAAUACGAAGGGGGCUAGCGUUGCUCGGAAUGACUGGGCGUAAAGGGCGCGUAGGCGGUUUAUGCAGUCAGAUGUGAAAUCCCCGGGCUUAACCUGGGAACUGCAUUUGAGACGCAUAGACUAGAGGUCGAGAGAGGGUUGUGGAAUUCCCAGUGUAGAGGUGAAAUUCGUAGAUAUUGGGAGGAGCACCGGUGGCGAAGGCGGCAACCUGGCUCGAUACUGACGCUGAGGCGCGAAAGCGUGGGGAGCAAACAGGAUUAGAUACCCGUGUAGUC
rnacentral:rRNA from 1 species